rnacentral:rRNA from 1 species
UGAACGCUGGCGGCGUGCCUAAUACAUGCAAGUCGAGCGAACGGACGAGAAGCUUGCUUUUCUGAUGUUAGCGGCGGACGGGUGAGUAACACGUGGAUAACCUACCUAUAAGACUGGGAUAACUUCGGGAAACCGGAGCUAAUACCGGAUAAUAUUUUGAACCGCAUGGUUCAAAAGUGAAAGACGGUCUUGUUGUCACUUAUAGAUGGAUCCGCGCUGCAUUAGCUAGUUGGUAAGGUAACGGCUUACCAAGGCAACGAUGCAUAGCCGACCUGAGAGGGUGAUCGGCCACACUGGAACUGAGACACGGUCCAGACUCCUACGGGAGGCAGCAGUAGGGAAUCUUCCGCAAUGGGCGAAAGCCUGACGGAGCAACGCCGCGUGAGUGAUGAAGGUCUUCGGAUCGUAAAACUCUGUUAUUAGGGAAGAACAUAUGUGUAAGUAACUGUGCACAUCUUGACGGUACCUAAUCAGAAAGCCACGGCUAACUACGUG